rnacentral:tRNA from 1 species
GUUUGUCGUAGCGGGUGGCGAUCGCGCGGAACUGUUUGAGCCGGUUGAAGCAGCGUUCGACGACGUUGCGGCGCUUG